CAAUAAUAAUAUUUGUGUAAUAAUACUGAAAAAAUAUAGAGAAGAUCAGCAUGGUCCCUUUGCAAUGAUGACAUGCAAAACUAUGAAGCAUUCGACAUUUUA